AGACCUGAGUGCAACCUGGCUGUGACGUCUGCCACCCCAUUGAUGCCAGGGUUGAUGGGGAUGAUGUGGUGGGCUGGGCACAUGUCCCUUCCUCUCUCACUGUUUCAUGCAUAUCCCUCCAAAAGUUAUGUGCUUGGCCCAAGAGGAUGGCCUUUUCUGAACAGAGACAGACUGGUUGACAAUACAAGUGUAGCUGCACUCCCCUGCUAGAGCCUCAAACUCUCAGCACUAGAUCUCUGCCAUCUGCAUCCAUGUAGGUUUUGAGGAGUUGGCUUGCUU
rnacentral:snRNA from 1 species